CAGUCGCCGCGGUAAUGCGUAGGUGGCAAGCGUUGUCCGGAAUUAUUGGGCGUAAAGGGCGCGUAGGCGGACUGAUAAGUCAGGGGUGAAAUCCCAAGGCUCAACCUUGGAACUGCCUUUGAUACUGUUUGUCUUGAGUUCGAGAGAGGUAAGUGGAACUGCGAGUGUAGAGGUGAAAUUCGUAGAUAUUCGCAAGAACACCAGUGGCGAAGGCGGCUCACUGGCCCGAUACUGACGCUGAGGCACGAAAGCGUGGGGAGCAAACAGGAUUAGAUACCCCAGUAGUCCCUGUCUCUUAUAC
rnacentral:rRNA from 1 species